rnacentral:rRNA from 1 species
AAAUUGAAGAGUUUGAUCAUGGCUCAGAUUGAACGCUGGCGGCAGGCCUAACACAUGCAAGUCGAACGGUAACAGGAAGCAGCUUGCUGCUUUGCUGACGAGUGGCGGACGGGUGAGUAAUGUCUGGGAAACUGCCUGAUGGAGGGGGAUAACUACUGGAAACGGUGGCUAAUACCGCAUAACGUCGCAAGACCAAAGAGGGGGACCUUCGGGCCUCUUGCCAUCAGAUGUGCCCAGAUGGGAUUAGCUUGUUGGUGAGGUAACGGCUCACCAAGGCGACGAUCCCUAGCUGGUCUGAGAGGAUGACCAGCCACACUGGAACUGAGACACGGUCCAGACUCCU